AGUUUCAACCCGCUCUGAAUAUGCCCGAUGCCACUAUAUUUUGGAAGCUAAGCAGGGACGGGCCCAGGAUGUUCUUGGACGGAAGACCUUCAGGGCAUACUGGAUGCUGUAGGCC
rnacentral:rRNA from 1 species